UCCAACUUCCACUGCUGCUCCAACUACAACACUCACUCCAACUACCACUGAUGCUCCAACCACAGCACUCACUCCAACGACCACUGCUGCCCCAACUACUACAGUCACUCAAACUACUACUGCUGCUCCAAUGACAACACUCACUCAAACUACCACUGCUGCUCCAACCACAAGACUCACUCCAACUACCACUAUUGCUCCAACUACAACACUCACUCCAACUACCACUAUUGCUCCAACUACAACACUCACUCCAACUACUACUGCCGAUACAACAAACACAGCACCUACAAAUACCACUGCUGCUCCAAAUACAACAACUCCUCUAUCUACCACUAUUGCUCCAACUACAACAACUCCUCUACCUACCACUACUGCUCCUACCACAACACUCACUCCAACUACGACUGCUGCUCCAGCCACAACACUCACUUCAACUACCACUGCUUCUCCAACCACAGCUCUCACUCCAACAACCACUGCUGCUCUAACUACAACUUUGACAACAACAGAGCUUCCUACAACAAGUGAUCCUCCUACAACCACCCUUCCAAUUACUUUUACAUCAAUUAUUCAGUCUUCACCAACCCUUCCAGCCACCACAGCUACAACUACUACUACCCCUGCAAAUACAACAGCCAAUACUUUUAUAACACAUCCUCCAACUACAACUCUUUUGGCUAAAGCAAUCCUUGCAGCCAGUCAUACACCUACAACUAUCCAUAAUGCUACAACGCCUGGCCCCAUUGCAACCACCUUUCCACAGUCAACUACAGUAAGACCUCCAACUGAAGAUACCACUCCAGCCCCAACAAGCAACCAAAAUACUACUGCAACAUGAAAAAAUAACAGCUCCACCGACUACAAAAACCCCUCCAACUACAAAAUCCACUCCAACUAUAAGAACCCCUCCUGCUACAACAUCUGCUCCUACUACAGCAACCACUGCAACUACAACAGAUCCUCUCAUAACAACAACCACUCCAACCAACAACAACAAGCCCUGGAACAACAACAACCGUCACUCCAAAUACUACAACAGCUGCUCAUACUGAAACCUCUCCAAUGAAAUGGCCGCUCCUUCAAUAACAACCACCGUUGCUGUGUUGUCGUAGGUUUUUUUUUUCAGAUCAACUUUCAAGAUUAUAAUCACUCAUAACUCUGUUACCUUUAAUUUUGAGGUGAACUUUGUAUACAUGUAUAUCUAUAAAUAAAGCACUUGGAAAAAAAACCUGUAUGAUGUUUUAAUACAUUUAACACAAAUUAAGGACAUUUAAAAACCAUGGACUUCACAACAUCCAUCAUUUAAUCUAAAAUUGAAAUAUGUUUUGUUCUGAAUUCCUAGUUUUCCUGCUGUGUAGGUGCCUGGUUGUGUCAUAGAGUA